rnacentral:tRNA from 1 species
GCCUCUGUAGCUCAGUCUGGCAGAGCGGCAGCCUUGUAAGCUGCAGGUCGCAGGUUCGAUUCCUGCCAGGGGCU